rnacentral:sRNA from 1 species
GCCAGGUAUGGUAGCAUAUGCCUGUAGUCCCAGCUACUCAGGAGGCUGAGGCAGAAGGAUCAUUUGAGCCCAAAGGCUCAAGGUCAGACUGGGCAACAAAGCAAAACCUGUCUCUG